rnacentral:rRNA from 1 species
GACGAACGCUGGCGGCGUGCUUAACACAUGCAAGUCGAACGGAAAGGCCCUGCUUUUGUUGGUUGCUCGAGUGGCGAACGGGUAAGUAACACGUAAGUAACCUUCCCUUUACUUUGAGCUACCUUCAGGUAAGUGUAGUUACUACCGGAUAGCCGCUCCUGCUGCAUGGUGUUGGUAGGAAAGUUUCGGCGGUUGUGGAUGGACCCGCGGGUUAUCAGCUUGUUGGUUGGGUAGUUGCUUACCAAGGCUUUGAAGGGUGGCCGGCCUGAGGGGGGGGACGGGCCACAUUGGGACUGAGAUAGGGCCAGGACUCCAACGGGAGGAAGCGGGGGGGAAUAUGGCACAAGGGGCGGAGGCCGGAGGAAGAAACGCGGGGUGUGGGAGGACGGCUUUCGGUUAGAAAACGGCUUCAGCAGGGGACGAAGCGGUAGUGACGGUAAUUGGUAAAGAAGCACCGGCUAACUACGUG